AUGAUGGUGGUGGUGGUGGUGGGAGAGCCGGUAGCUCAUCAGGUUGGACGGCAACACCUUGGAGAGCCUCCAGCGCCCGCUCCCGUUGCCGGCGGCCCCUUCCUCCUCCUCCUCCUCCUCCUCAUCCAGGGCCCCCACCAGGCUCCGCAUGUCGCCGGAGGUGCCCUGCUGCAGGUACUGCGCGGCCUUGCGCCCGCUGUAGUCGCGGAUGUCCACGUCGGCGUCGUAGGCGCCCACCAGCAGCUUCACCACCUCGGUGUGGCCGUGCAUGGCGGCGAUGUGCAGCGCCGUGUGCCCGCCGCUGGUGCGGGCGUUGAUGUCCACGGGCAGCCGGUGCCUCUGGGCGAAGUUGACCAAGGUGGCCAGCAGCUCCUGCCGCCCGUGCUUGGCCGCCCAGUGCAGCGCCGUGAAGCCGGUGAUGAAGUCCCGCUUGCAGCACAGCGCCGGCUCGCAGCUCAGCAGCCCCUCCAGGCUCUCCCACCGCCCGUCCGAGGCCGACAGCAUCCAGGCGUGCUCCAGCGGGUCCAGCGCCACCGACCCCGCCGCGCUCCCCUCCUCCUCGGCCGACGACGAGGCCACCGAGCCGCUGUCCGAGUCGCGGCCGCGCCCGGCGCCGCGCUUCAGCUGGGGCGAGCCGCCCCGCAGGCUCCUGCGGCCCCCGGGGGAGCCCCCCGCAGCCUCCUCCUCCUCCUCUUCAUCCCUCCUCGCCGCAGGAGGAGCAGCAGGAGGAGGAGGUGCUGGUGGCGGCGGCGGUGGUGGUGCCCUCGGGGAGGGCGGCUCGCAGAAGCGGCGGCGGAGAUGCACGUACUUGGCCCCGGUGCCGGGCUCCGGGCGGACAGUGGCCACGGCGUUGACCAGCUCCUUGAAGCGCUGCCGGGCUGCGGCUCGCUGCCCGGGCUCGGCGGGGUUGAGCCAGCCGCCGAAAUGCUCCAGCAGCUCGGCGUUGCGCGCCCGCCCGCCCCGCUCCCGCAGGAACCGCACCACCGCCUCCUGCCGCAGCUCGCCGGGCUCCGCCAUCUCAUCUCACAUCCUCCUCCUCCUCCUCCUCCUCCUUUCUCCUCCUGCUGCUGCUGCUGCUGCUCACGAGGGCGCGGCGGAGCCCGGCUUCCCCAGCCCCUCCUCCGGCCGGGAGGGAGCGGGGCGGGUUCCCCCAUAGAGCCGCCCGCUCUCCCCCUCCGCCCCCCGGCCGCCGUUCCGCCCGUUGGGCGCCGCCUACCCUCGGUCCCAGCCCCGGCAGGGGGUUUCCAUCCUUCAUUCCCCUCUCCCCUUCCCUCCUUCCCUCCCUCUCCUCUCCGUCCCCUCCCUCUGGGGCCAUGGCCGCCCCCGGUGCCGGCCGGCAGCCGCAAAGGAGGAACAGGUACGGCAUGUGCUGGAUUUUCAGGUUACUCAAUCAUGUGCUGGUGAAGAGAAGCCUUUGCGGUGUUUGCAAAUGCAUAUGUUGCUGUCUGUGAACUCACCUCCUCACAACUGAAAAAUGAGCAAG
rnacentral:lncRNA from 1 species